CCUACGGGCGGCAGCAGUGGGGAAUAUUGGGCAAUGGGCGCAAGCCUGACCCAGCAACGCCGCGUGAGGGAGGAAGGCGCAGAGCGUCGCAGACCUCUUUUGCCGGGGGACAAAAGGCCGGACUCGUCCGGUCCUGAGGGUACCCGGAGAAAAAGCAUCGGCUAACUCCGUGCCAGCAGCCGCGGUAAUACGGAGGAUGCGAGCGUUAUCCGGAUUCAUUGGGUUUAAAGGGUGCGCAGGCGGGCCUUUAAGCCGGCGGUGAAAUCGCGGGGCUCAACCCCUCCGAGCCGGCGGAACGGGGGGCCUUGAGUGCGGCGGAGGCAUGCGGAAUGCGCGGGGUAGAGGUGAAAUGCAGAGAUAGCGGGCAGAA
rnacentral:rRNA from 1 species